GACUGGUGACAGAGUGAGAGAGGGGGUGACUAGUGACAGAGUGAAAGAGGGGGUGACUGUCACUAGUCACCACAUCCCUCACUCUGUCACUAGUCACCCCCUCUCUCACUCUCUCACUAGUCAC